rnacentral:rRNA from 1 species
CCUACGGGAGGCAGCAGUGGGGAAUAUUGCUCAAUGGGCGCAACCCUGAAGCAGCAACGCCGCGUGGAGGAUGAAGGUUUUCGGAUUGUUAACUCCUUUUGUUAGAGAAGAUAAUGACGGUAUCUAACGAAUAAGCACCGUCUAACUCCGUGCCAGCAGCCGCGGUAAUACGGAGGGUGCAAGCGUUACUCGGAAUCACUGGGCGUAAAGAGCGCGUAGGCGGGAUAGCAAGUCAGAUGUGAAAUCCUAUGGCUUAACCAUAGAACUGCAUUUGAAACUGUUAUUCUAGAGUAUGGGAGAGGUAGGUGGAAUUCUUGGUGUAGGGGUAAAAUCCGUAGAGAUCAAGAGGAAUACUCAUUGCGAAGGCGACCUGCUAGAACAUAACUGACGCUGAUGCGCGAAAGCGUGGGGAGCAAACAGGAUUAGAUACCCUAGUAGUC